AGAGUUUGAUCCUGGCUCAGGAUGAACGCUGGCGGCGUGCCUAAUACAUGCAAGUCGAGCGAACGGACGAGAAGCUUGCUUCUCUGAUGUUAGCGGCGGACGGGUGAGUAACACGUGGAUAACCUACCUAUAAGACUGGGAUAACUUCGGGAAACCGGAGCUAAUACCGGAUAAUAUUUUGAACCGCAUGGUUCAAAAGUGAAAGACGGUCUUGCUGUCACUUAUAGAUGGAUCCGCGCUGCAUUAGCUAGUUGGUAAGGUAACGGCUUACCAAGGCAACGAUGCAUAGCCGACCUGAGAGGGUGAUCGGCCACACUGGAACUGAGACACGGUCCAGACUCCUACGGGAGGCAGCAGUAGGGAAUCUUCCGCAAUGGGCGAAAGCCUGACGGAGCAACGCCGCGUGAGUGAUGAAGGUCUUCGGAUCGUAAAACUCUGUUAUUAGGGAAGAACAUAUGUGUAAGUAACUGUGCACAUCUUGACGGUACCUAAUCAGAAAGCCACGGCUAACUACGUGCCAGCAGCCGCGGUAAUACGUAGGUGGCAAGCGUUAUCCGGAAUUAUUGGGCGUAAAGCGCGCGUAGGCGGUUUUUUAAGUCUGAUGUGAAAGCCCACGGCUCAACCGUGGAGGGUCAUUGGAAACUGGAAAACUUGAGUGCAGAAGAGGAAAGUGGAAUUCCAUGUGUAGCGGUGAAAUGCGCAGAGAUAUGGAGGAACACCAGUGGCGAAGGCGACUUUCUGGUCUGUAACUGACGCUGAUGUGCGAAAGCGUGGGGAUCAAACAGGAUUAGAUACCCUGGUAGUCCACGCCGUAAACGAUGAGUGCUAAGUGUUAGGGGGUUUCCGCCCCUUAGUGCUGCAGCUAACGCAUUAAGCACUCCGCCUGGGGAGUACGACCGCAAGGUUGAAACUCAAAGGAAUUGACGGGGACCCGCACAAGCGGUGGAGCAUGUGGUUUAAUUCGAAGCAACGCGAAGAAUCUUACCAAAUCUUGACAUCCUUUGACAACUCUAGAGAUAGAGCUUUCCCCUUCGGGGGACAAAGUGACAGGUGGUGCAUGGUUGUCGUCAGCUCGUGUCGUGAGAUGUUGGGUUAAGUCCCGCAACGAGCGCAACCCUUAAGCU
rnacentral:rRNA from 1 species